UACAGAGGUGGCAAGCGUUGUUCGGAAUUACUGGGCGUAAAGGGCGCGUAGGCGGCCUUCUAAGUCAGACGUGAAAUCCCCCGGCUUAACCUGGGAACUGCGUCUGAUACUGGGAGGCUAGGGUGCGGGAGAGGGAUGCGGAAUUCCAGGUGUAGCGGUGAGAUGCGUAGAUAUCUGGAGGAACACCGGUGGCGAAGGCGGCAUCCUGGACCGACACUGACGCUGAGGCGCGAAAGCUAGGGUAGCAAACGGG
rnacentral:rRNA from 1 species